rnacentral:misc_RNA from 1 species
GUUUUUUGGUACCCUAUCACGAGAAUGGGCUUUGGAGUGCAUGAAGGAUCUGUUGCUGGUGAAUCUAAGAGGCAACCUUCAGAUAAUUGUGCAGACUGCCAAGGAGUAUUGUGAGCAGUUGGGUAUUGAUGCGUGCAUAAAACUUUUUGAGCAAUUCAAGUCCUAUGAAGGGCUGUACUUUUUCCUUGGGUCGUAUUUGAGUUCCAGUGAGGAUCCUGAUAUACACUUCAAGUA